AGAUCCUUGAUGUCCAGCCACACUUCAGAAUAUCCACACUUAACACCACACGAAUGACACCCUGCUGCUAUGCAAGGCAUCUCUUUCCCAAAGGAUCCAUCUCUACUUCCCGUUGCCUGGUGGGCACGGCUCCUGCUGCCUUAGUCGUAUGAUACAUUUUUGUUUAGCAAAUGCAUCAACAUGUUAACCCUUCCAACUAGCUGACAUUAAAACCCUUUUAAAAAUAGUGUGAAAGUAGUUGAACAAUUGGUUUUAUGAAUUAAAGGAUACCUAGUGAUAGUAUAAAUCCAUAAAUUUUUAGAUUAAAAAAUGAAUACCCAAAG
rnacentral:lncRNA from 1 species